CCCGCUGCCACAGCACCACGCUAGUGCUCUCUCAUGGCCAGGAUGUGGGAGGGGCUGUUCACCUCGAUUGUGCUAGAUUGCAUUGCUGCCUGAUUGACAUCACCAAACACCCCUUGCCCCAUAUUGAAUCUCAGUUGACUCCGCCUCUCCUGCCUGGGCCCUUAGAGGUGGAUGUGAAGCUGUCUCCUGGGCUAGGACCCCCGGCUCAUUUCCACUGGCCAUUCUAUGGGCAUCUCUGAGGGAGAUCUAUUGAAAGUGGGUCUGAAUGUAAUUACCAGAGAAAUGUUGACUCCUCCAGCACACUGAGAGCAUGGCUCACCUCUGCAUUUAGGCUGUCCUGGUCUUGUUCAUGCUUUCCCCUAAUUAUCCCUCAAGUCCAUCGUCCUCCUCUUUCCCCCUAUCACUGCCCCAUCAUCACCCAGCACACCAUUGCCAUCACCUAGCCGGUACGUCUGCUUGCAGAUUUCCCCCUGCACUCUGUAGCCAAUCCUCUGCACUGUGGCAGCCAGACCAGAGUGAGCAUUCUAGAGUACACAUCUGACCAUAGAACUCUCGUGCUUAAAGUCCUUCAGUAGCUCCAGCUCCCUAUGGCCUGCAGGAUGAAAUCCAGACUCCAUGGGUUGGCAGGUCAAGUAUGAACUUCAGUUACACUAAACCUCUGGUAGUUUCCCCAAACAUCCACGCUAUUUCCCAUGCCUUUGCAAAGGCUGCAGCAUCACCCCACUCCUGACCCCAACAACUGCUCCUGCCUUUCCUUAUGUUGCUGCCCAUUAUCUGUCCAGUCUCAGCCCAGACAUCCCCUCCUCUGGGGAGCCUUCCCUGAUUCCCUUAGGCUUCAUCAUAUUUCAUUUCUUUCUUUGCCUGUCUGCCUCCUCCACCAGACUGUGAGCUCCUGGGAACCAGGACUGUGUCUUAGUCAUAGUGAUAGUUCCAUAGCCUAGCACCGGGCCUGACAUCAAGCACAAGAGGCAGUUUAUCUCGGUGGUUAGAGCCUAGCCUCUGGAGCCAGGCUUCUUGGUUCUCAUCUUAGUUCUUCAAUUAACUAGCUGUUUGAUCCUGGAAAAGUUACAUGACCUGUCUGUUCCUCAGCAUUUCUGUCUGUAAAACGGAGGUGGAGAUAAUAUCUAUGUUAGAGGGUUGGUAUCAGGAACUGUGAGUUAAUACAUAGUUACAAUGUUUAGAACAGUGUUCAGUGCAUAGCUAAUCCAAUUUGUUGCAUUAGCAUAUACACCUUCUGUUUCUAACGUGCUUUGGUUCCUGAGGUCAGCCAUCAUUUGGAUCACCAUCAUCAGCUUCAAAAGUGUUUCUGACUUCCUCCAGAUGGGUGCUUUGUGCCAACCACACGGAGCCUGUGAAGGGUUUCCUUGGCCGAUUCCUGAGGAGGAAGCUCAUGGAAACAGAGAUCAGUGGGCGGGUGCGCAAUAUGGAGCUGGUAAAAAUCAUUGACUGGAUUCCCAAGGUCUGGCAUCACCUCAACCGCUUCCUGGAGGCUCACAGUUCCUCGGACGUCACCAUCGGCCCCCGGCUCUUCCUGUCAUGCCCCAUCGAUGUGGACGGCUCAAGAGUGUGGUUCACCGACUUGUGGAACUAUUCCAUUAUCCCCUAUCUCCUGGAAGCUGUCAGAGAAGGACUCCAGCUCUAUGGAAGGCGCGCCCCCUGGGAGGAUCCUGCCAAGUGGGUGAUGGACACAUAUCCAUGGGCAGCCAGCCCACAACAGCACGAGUGGCCUCCCCUGCUGCAGUUACGGCCUGAGGAUGUCGGCUUCGACGGCUACUCCAUGCCUCGAGAGGGAUCGACAAGCAAGCAGAUGCCCCCCAGUGAUGCUGAAGGUGACCCGCUGAUGAACAUGCUGAUGAGGCUGCAGGAGGCAGCCAACUACUCCAGCCCCCAGAGCUAUGACAGCGACUCCAACAGCAACAGCCAUCACGAUGACAUCUUGGACUCCUCUUUGGAGUCCACUCUGUGACAGGGGCCCGGAGCCCAGCGCCCUCCUCUUCUCCUCACCGCAUUCCACCUGCAUCCCCCACAUCACCCUGAAGAUGACUUCCUGAGCCAGCCCCCAGCCACAGCCUUAGAGCUGCGGGAACACCGAGACCCCUCGUCCUUCAGCCUCGACCUGGGUGCAGGCAUCCCGGGCCAGCUGCCUGCGGACCGCUUCCUUCCACAGCGAGAACUGCACUACCUUCUGUUGUACUUUAAUUAUUGUUUUGCCUUGUUGCUGUGACCUCCCUAAGACACUGAAGAUACUUCUCGGGAAAGGAUCAUCGCCGUUGAAAUGAAAAGAGAGAC
rnacentral:sRNA from 1 species